rnacentral:rRNA from 1 species
UCGAGCGGCAGCGCGAAGAUUUAUUCUUUGGCGGCGAGCGGCGGACGGCUGAGUAACGCGUGGGAACAUACCCCAAAGUGAGGGAUAAGCAUCGGAAACGGUGUCUAAUACCGCAUAUGAUCUUCGGAUUAAAGGAUUUAUCCGCUUUGGGAAUGGCCUGCGUACGAUUAGAUAGUUGGUGAGGUAAAGGCUCACCAAGUCUACGAUCGUUAACUGGUUUGAGAGGAUGAUCAGUCAGACUGGAACUGAGACACGGUCCAGACUCCUACGGGAGGCAGCAGUGAGGAAUCUUCCACAAUGGACGAAAGUCUGAUGGAGCAACUCCGCGUGCAGGAUGAAGGCCUUCGGGUCGUAAACUGCUUUUAUGAGUGAAGAAUAUGACGGUAACUCAUGAAUAAGGGUCGGCUAACUACGUGCCAGCAGCCGCG